AACAAACUCAUUAAAGUAUUUGUGAAUACAUUUGGUAUUUUGUAUUUUUCAAUUGAUUCUGCUUGCUACCACACCUGGCGUUGCUCUGCACAGAGAAGGGAAUCCUGUUUCCCAUCCAGCAUCACUGAUUUCUCACUCAUUUGAUCCUGCCCUGUAAAGUAACUCAUGCACCACAGCAGCUCAGCUUCCCUCCAUCUUAUGCUCCAUGAAGCUUUAACUCAUUCUGAUAAGAAACAAGAUAUCUAGAGGGACUAAAACUCGGUCCAACUCAGAAGCAACUUCAAAGUCCUCCCUCAGAAAGUAAUGAGGGCUGAAGAAAGGGAGAAGAAAAAGUGACCAGUGGCUGAAAGGAAGGAAAGAGACAGCAACAAAUAUUGACAUAUUUACAGGACCUCACAGGACCUGACCCCUAGAGCUUGUGGCAGAGUGGCUUUCAACAAGGCUCCAAGGAAUGGGACAGGCCAAAUGAAGGACAAUCUGCAGGAGCCAAAUUCCAGACAACUGGUCCACUCUGCAGCAACAGCACAAUAAACCCCAGCUCUAAUGUGGCUUCCAGGUACCUCCUAUACAGGACAUUUUGAUGGUUGGGAGGUGGUGUCCUCGGGAUCUACUCUUAUAUCUGCUACAGGCUUGCUUUGCAACUACUUAUUAGUUUCUAGAGAGGAAAUGAAGGGUUCAAUCUUACUUAAAAUAAAUUCCAGGAUGUAUCACCUUUGGCAAGCUUCUGUAUGGAGAUAAUAGUGUUUACUCCCUGGCUUUACGAGGGUAUUGGGGCUGUUAUUACAGCUGUAGUACUUUGACCAUGUAAAUGCUACGUUGUCAACAUUUUCUCUCCUUCACUACAUCAUGUCUAAACCAGGACUUUGACAUUUAUAGCUUUCUCAGUCAUCCUUCUUUCCUGGGCGUCAAAGACAUCAGGAAAUCAUCUUUGCCUGUGACAAAAGCUUGUGAGUCAAUAAUAAAUAUAGCUGAGGCUUUGA